rnacentral:lncRNA from 1 species
ACUUUAAAUCGUACAGGGAACGGGCUCCCCAAGAAAGGGAACGUCUGAAAAGAUUUAAAGGAAGUACUCUUCAAGACAGAAGAGACAUGGAUAUUGUUUUAGGGCCCAGGAAGGAGACAGGAUUCACCUGAAGAGGCUGGGCCAGAGCAGUGAGCCGGCCAUGUGCUUCCAGGGACUGCAAGCAUUGACAUCACCUGCAGCAGCUGCUUGCCACUUUUUCCUUCUGUUGGGCACCAGGUUUCCACGUGCUGCUGGACCAUAGUUUGAGACUACACACCCCCAUCUGGACCCUAUUAAAAUGCAUCUCUUGACCAGUCACAGGAGGAGCCUGGGAGGGGGAGGAGAAGUCAAGGGAGAGGAGAAGUCAAGACAAGUUGACCUCAAAGGUACCACGGAAAAGUAAUGAUUAACACUGCUGCAGUCUGGGAACAGUUUAUUCAACUGCGGUGACGGAAACAAGGAGAAAGCCCUUCCUCAAACCCCUCGGCAAAAUCUGCUUUCCACUUCUGACUGAUGGUGGGAAGAAGAAAGACGCUGCAUUUGGAAGGACUGUCAGAAUCAAAUAUGUCUGAAAUCUUAAAUGCUUCUCAGUGUCUGUUUUGUGAUUUUUAAAAUUUUGUUUACAAAAGCUUUUCUCUUUCCUCCCCCUCUCUCCUUCUCUCUCCUUCCUCCCUUCCUUCCUUCCUUUCAGUGAAAAGAGGAAAGGAUAACAAAAUAUUGCUCAUUUGGGAAAGGUAACAAUAGAAAGCCAGCAAAAACUGCAUCUGGAUCCACCUUCCAAUGCAGGGGAUGUGGGUUCGAUCCCUGGUUGGGGACCUAAGAUCCCUCAUGCCACGGAGCACCUGAACCAGCACGCUGCAACCACGGAGACUGCAUGCCACAACUAGAGAGUCUGUGCGCAGCAAGGAGUAUCUCAAGGGCUGCAACUGAGAUCUGACACAGCCAAAUAAACAAAUAAAUAAUUAAAAAGAGAGAAGACUCUGCACCUGGGAGUAAGGGGAGAGCUUCCCCUUCCAUGACCGAGUGGAAGCCUAGAAUGUCAAAAUAAGGAGGGGCCUCAGGGAUCGUCCUGACUCAUCUUCUCAAAGAAGAUGGACCCAAAGGUUGAUCUCUCGCACAGGACUCUUCAUCACAGCACUGCCACUUCCUCUGCUCCAGGCUGGAAGCAGGCUGGGCAGAGCUUGUUAGGCAAUGUCAUGAGUUUUGCUGCAGCUCUCUCUGAAGCAGGGGUGACAUGACACGUUUGAACCUCUGAGCUAGAGCAUCCUCUGGAUCAUGCUGAGACUUGGUCAGCUUGGGCGGACAGGGUGGUUGAGAGUUUUGCACUCCAACUAUGUGCUGGGGUCUAAAAGUCCACUGUUUUAUGGAAGAGACUUGGAGACAGUAACUCAGGAGAAGAUCAAACAGAGAAGACUCCAGGGUUAUUCCAGGGUUAAACAAGACAGGAAGUGGAAAGGACCGCCAGGGAGGGCCUCAACCCAUGAUGCCUUCUACCAGGCUUCUUUAAGAACCAACCAGAAGAAAAACAUCUCAAGACAACAAGUAUCCUGUUCCAAAGAAUUAGAACAGAUCACCAGGAAUUUUGCACUUAAGAUCUUAUUUGUGGCAAAGGUAAGCCUAGGGUUCUUCUUAGAAUCAAGAGAUUGAGUGGAUUUUGGAGACAAUCUGACCUGAUGACUCCUUUCCAUGCAUUACUGGGAGUAGAUCAUUGGAGAGCUGAGUGUCAGCCAUUAUUCCGAGGCACCUUCAGAGGGAGAUUCCACCCAGCUGCCCGACUCAGUGUCCCACAGUCUCUGUAGUUCAGAGUUCUUCCCAGUGUCUUACUUAAAACCUCUCCUGCUUCAGCAUAAAUUGUUCCGUCUUCUCAGAGUGAGGGAGCCCUGCCAUGAGACAGAUGGCUUGAACUACAAAGCAAGUCUGCUAGCUGCUUCACUGGCC